rnacentral:rRNA from 1 species
AGUAACACGUGAGCAAUCUGCCCUUCUCUUCGGAAUAAGCGUUGGAAACGACGUCUAAUGCCGAAUACGACCUCCUUUCGCAUGAUCGGAGGUGGAAAGCUCCGGCGGAGAAGGAUGAGCUCGCGGCCUAUCAGCUAGUUGGUGAGGUAACGGCCCACCAAGGCGACGACGGGUAGCCGGCCUGAGAGGGUGACCGGCCACACUGGGACUGAGACACGGCCCAG